rnacentral:rRNA from 1 species
AUUGAACGCUGGCGGCAGGCCUAACACAUGCAAGUCGAGCGGAUGAAGGGAGCUUGCUCCUGGAUUCAGCGGCGGACGGGCGAGUAAUGCCUAGGAAUCUGCCUGGUAGUGGGGGAUAACGUCCGGAAACGGGCGCUAAUACCGCAUACGUCCUGAGGGAGAAAGUGGGGGAUCUUCGGACCUCACGCUAUCAGAUGAGCCUAGGUCGGAUUAGCUAGUUGGUGGGGUAAAGGCCUACCAAGGCGACGAUCCGUAACUGGUCUGAGAGGAUGAUCAGUCACACUGGAACUGAGACACGGUCCAGACUCCUACGGGAGGCAGCAGUGGGGAAUAUUGGACAAUGGGCGAAAGCCUGAUCCAGCCAUGCCGCGUGUGUGAAGAAGGUCUUCGGAUUGUAAAGCACUUUAAGUUGGGAGGAAGGGCAGUAAGUUAAUACCUUGCUGUCUUGACGUUACCAACAGAAUAAGCACCGGCUAACUUCGUG